rnacentral:rRNA from 1 species
GGUGAACGCUGGCGGCGUGCUUAAGACAUGCAAGUCGAACGGCAGUCUUCGGACUGUAGUGGCGCACGGGUGAGUAACGCGUAACUGACCUACCCCAAAGUCGCGGAUAACGAUUCGAAAGAAUCGCUAAUACGUGAUGUGCUGUCAGAUUGUGUUCUGCCAGUAAAGAUUGAUUGCUUUGGGAUGGGGUUGCGUUCCAUCAGCUAGUUGGGGGGGUAAAGGCCCACCAAGGCGACGACGGAUAGCCGGCCUGAGAGGGGGGCCGGCCACAGGGGCACUGAGACACGGGUCCCACUCCUACGGGAGGCAGCAGUUAGGAAUCUUCCACAAUGGGCGAAAGCCUGAUGGAGCGACGCCGCGUGAGGGAUGAAGGUCUUCGGAUCGUAAACCUCUGAAUCAGGGACGAAAGACACUUCGGUGGGAUGACGGUACCUGAGUAAUAGCACCGGCUAACUCCGUGCCAGCCGCCGCUGUAAGAC